rnacentral:rRNA from 1 species
UACGUAGGAGACGAGCGUUGUCCGGAAUUACUGGGCGUAAAGCGCGUGUAGGCGGAUGAGCAAGUCUGCUGUGAAAGCUCCUGGCUUAACCGGGAGUGGUCGGUGGAAACUGCUCGUCUGGAGGACGGUAGAGGUAGGUAGAAUUCCCGGUGUAGUGGUGAAAUGCGUAGAGAUCGGGAGGAAUACCUGUGGCGAAGGCGGCCUACUGGGCCGGACCUGACGCUGAGACGCGAAAGCUAGGGGAGCGAACAGG